GGGUGCGAUCAUACCAGCAAUAAUGCACCGGAUCCCAUCAGAACUCCGAAGUUAAGCUUGCUUGGGCGAGAGCAGUACUAGGAUGGGUGACCCCUGGGAAGUCCUCGUGUUGCACCCCUC
rnacentral:rRNA from 1 species